ACUUUUUCCCCUCCCUGUCUCGGUGAGGAGGAGAGUGGUAGAGUGGCUUGGUGGGCACCUGGUGUCCAUCCAAGGUCAGCCCACUACAUCUGUGUGUUUUUUGGAUGUUCUCAGGCAAGUCACACUUACACUGCUGACUGACUUUUGACUUUGUAUUUUGGAGUUGUAUUGUGCCUUGUCAUGAGCUGAACAACCUGUGUUGUAGUUGCUGCCUAAUGCCAUUGAAAAAAUGCCCUAAAAGAGUGUGAUCUAAAUGACAUUUUCAUCAUAUCAUGUUUAACCAACCUUGUUGCUACUGCUUUCUUGGUUUUCUUUGGCUCCCAUACAAAGUAAAAUGUGACAGAUGAAUCAUAAAGCUCACCUUGUUCACAAAGUGUUUGAAAGAUGAAAGGAAGCAUAUGUGGAUGACAGCAGAGUUGCAACUGCAUGAGGGGGACUGCUGUUUGCUGCGCGUGAAAUGUUUCUUGGUUUGUUUUAAGGGCACAUUGAUUAUGUGCAUCAGCAUUCUUUACAGUGCUUUAAAUACGUACAUAUAUUUUAAUGAAGUUUAAUAUUUAGGCUUAGAAAACAAAGCCUGUCUAUAUUUAUAUUGAAACAAAGUUCUGAGAUAAAAUAUGUGAUGAGGUUAACAGGAAAAAUUUCUUGAAGAGAGUCCAAGGAGUUAGUUUGGCAGCUCAGCAUGGAUCUUUAUUGGCUUGAAGAAAGAAGAUGACUGCUUACUAGAGAUUUAAGUGCAGAACUUGGAUAAAGCAGAAGUGAUUCUGAUGAGAGCUCCGAGUCAACUUUGGUUGAUAUUCUAGGAACCAGAUCCUGGAAAGGUGAAAAGUGAAGAGCUCUUUGCUGCAUGGGUACCUCUGGCAGUGCUGUUAUGAUAUUUUAAUAUUUACUGGGUCUGCUAAAGCCACCCCUUUUGGGCUCACAAUUACAUGAGGCUCUCGUCUCUUCUAGAAGGGGCUAACUGGACAGAAUAUUGGACUUGGAAGACCAUGUUCCUGGUUCCUCUGCUGGCCCACCAGGACAAAUCAUUGUAUCUCUGCCUCAUUUAUUCAUGUAUAAAAUUGGAAUAGUCUUACUGUCUUUGCUAAGUAUUGGACUUUGCUAAUAAAUUAUCUCUGGGAAA